UGCAAUUGCUGGGCUCUGCCAUCUUAACAAACCCUGUUCUUGGGUUGGAUGUGUGAUAAUUUGUUUGACUGAGAUAGCAUCAUCUAUGGGGUGAGAGCACUUUAUGAAGUGGGCCCUAUUUCUCUUGUCCUUUCAUACUAGGAAAAAUGUUAAAUAGAUAGAAACCGACCUGGAUUACUCCGAUCUGAACUCAGAUCAUGUAGGAUUCUAAUCGUUGAACAAACGAACUCUUAAUAGCAGCUACACCAUUAGGAUGUCCUGAUCCAACAUCGAGGUCGUAAACCCUAUUGUCGAUAUGAACUCUAGAAUAGGAUUGUGCUGUUAUCCCUAGGGUAACUUAUUCCAUUGAUCAAAUUAUUGGGUCAAUCAUACAUGGAGUUUCGCUUUUGUCA